rnacentral:rRNA from 1 species
UCGUAACAAGGUCUCCGUUGGUGAACCAGCGGAGGGAUCAUUACUGAGUACUACACUCUCUACCCUUUGUGAACUAUUAUACCUGUUGCUUCGGCGGCGCCCGCGAGGGUGCCCGCCGGUCUCAUCAGAAUCUCUGUUUUCGAACCCGACGAUACUUCUGAGUGUUCUUAGCGAACUGUCAAAACUUUUAACAACGGAUCUCUUGGCUCCAGCAUCGAUGAAGAACGCAGCGAAACGCGAUAUGUAAUGUGAAUUGCAGAAUUCAGUGAAUCAUCGAAUCUUUGAACGCACAUGGCGCCUUCCAGUAUCCUGGGAGGCAUGCCUGUCCGAGCGUCGUUUCAACCCUCGAGCCCCCGUGGCCCGGCGUUGGGGAUCUGCCACGGCAGGCCCCUAAAACCAGUGGCGGACCCGAAGGCCCUCUCCUUUGCGCAGUAGCAUCAGCCUCGCAUUGGGAUCCCUCGGCGUCCUGCCUCUAAACCCCCCACAAGUCCGCUCCGGCGGCACCAAGGUUGACCUCGGAUCAGGUAGGAAUACCCGCUGAACUUAAGCAUAUCAAUA